ensembl:miRNA
CGCUGGCGGGGCGCCGGGGCCCGGGCCGCGCGGACGCGGGGAGGCGCGGACGGGCGGACGCUGAGCGGCGCGCCGGGCAGAAGGCUCCGGCGCGCCUAGCCGGCC